rnacentral:lncRNA from 1 species
AACAGAUUUAGAGCACAAAUAUUAUUAAAAAAAAUGAGAAAAGCAUGACAUUGUGCAGUACAAAAAUAAUGUUUUCAUAAUAUCGAGAGUAAAUAGAACCUUAGUUUUCAUAACUGUUUAUUAAUGUUUAAAUCAUAAAAAAGAUAUGCUAUAAAUAUUGUACUACAAUCUGUUGUGUGUAAAUAUCUUUUUUUAGAAUUAGUAAACACACGAGACUUACAAGGUGUAGAUGUUCAAUUAUAGAUAUUCCUUAAGAAGUUCAACAAAGCUUUCAUGGGCAUAUUUCAUCAUAAAAUGGAUUCUAAAUAAAUUACAACAAAUAGACAUACGACAGACAUAUCGCUAACGUAAAAAGGUAGGUAUUCUAUUUGUUUGUCUUUUAAACAGCUUAAGAAUGAAUGUAACGUGUGUGCUCUUUCAGAUGUUUCAUAAUUAGAUAUAGGAAGAUGUGGUAUGAGUGCCGAUGAGACAUAUAAAGGCAACAGUAGUAUACCGCUGUUCAAAAUUCAUAAUUCGAUAGAGAAAAAACUAAUCCAGGUUACAAACUAAAACUGAGGGAAACAUAUCAAAUAUAAGAGAACUACGACACAACAGAGUCACAACACCGAAAUGUAACACACACAAAAACGAACUAUAAUGUAACAAUGGCCAUUUUCCUGACUUGGUACAGGGCAUUUUAUGAAAAAAUGGUGGGUUGGACCUGGUUUUGUGGCAUGUCAAACCUCCCGCUUUAAUGGCAGUGUUAAUUAUAACAUUAAAAUGACAACAUUACACGACAGGGUUACAAUAAAGAAACAGAUAAAUGGGAGAAAAUAAAGGACAGCGAAACAAACGAAUAAUAGCCAUCAAAGGUAACAGGUUAAAGAAUAUUUUUAUAUGCCAGACGCGCGCUACGUCCACACAAAACUAUGCUCUGAUGUAAAAAGUUUGAAAGCCAUAACUACAAAGUUUAAGAUCACCAAGGACCAAAAGUUCCAAAAUGUUGUGAGGCCAGGGCUAUCCGCCUGGGACAAAAACAACAUUAUUAUCAAGAAUUAUACAUAGUUUUGCAAACAGUUAAUUUUAUAAAAUGACUAUAUAAUAGAUAUCCAUGAUUAAACUGAAGUGGUGACUAGCUAUAGAAUAAAAACGAAUACAUUACAAACACACCCUGUUAGCCAUAGUCAAUGCAACGCCCAAAGUGACGCCGCAUUUAAAUUUCUAAAACGUGUUCCAAAAAUUAACAAAGAAUUUGGAUGAAAUUCAAGAUUAGAUUUUUAUGACUGAUCUCACUUAUAUUAAUAACAGUGAAAAUUAUAAUACUAAUUAAUAUUUAAUUGUAGUAGUACUUAGAUAAUUAAUUGUAUUAUCUAGCUUUGUGGGUGUUUCUUCUGAUCAAACUGCAAACCAAAUAUAUAGUGUAAAUUUCGUUGAUCCAAAAUUAAAUCUAACAAAUGAACUGGAUGAGUAGUUAUCCCCAACACAACACAAGAAUACAACAGAAAAAAAAAUACGAUUUACAACUACAAACGUUAAGACUGAGAAAUGGGAAAUUGAUAAUUGGGAAGUUGAAAUCGUCCCGUUUAUCAUAGAUUUUCGUGUGAAGUCGUACAUCUGUGUCAAUAUUGAGGAAAAGAUCAAGGUAUAAAGCAGUCCUUCUAGUAUCAGUAGUAUCCUUGAUUUCAAGUUCACUGGGAUAUAUGAGAUGCAAGUAUUGGCUGAAAUAUGGAUUAUUCAUUGAUAGGACAUCAUCAAUAUAUCGGAAAGCUAAAUUAAAGAAUUUCGCAAGGUGCUUUUUCUGUUUGUCUUUUAGAAGGGUUGAAUAAAUUCUGCUUCAUACGAGUACAAAAACAAAUCGGCUAGUAGGGGUGCACAAUUAUUUCCCAUUGGAAUACCGAUUGUCUGUUGAAAUAGGAAUCCUCCAAACUCAACAAAUAUAUUGUCGAUCAAAAAGUCCAGCAUUUUGAUAAUAUCAUCUUCAGUAUACUUGAAAUCACUGAAGAGACAUGUAAUGUCGAAAUACGCAUCAGGUGCAAGAAAAUUGGUAGCGUUAAUUCUAUUACUACCACUGGGUCGAUACCUCUGCUGGUGGACUAUUAGUCCCCGAGGGUAUCACCAGCCCAGUAGCCAGUACUUCGGUACUGCAUGAAAAUACGGAUUUUUUGUGUUAUUAAAAUUUGCUGUUACAAAAUGAUAUAAAUUAUUAUAAAUUAAGGAAUGUAUCUCCCUCAUGCAAAGCUCUGAUUCCUUUCACGGAUUCGGCUAUACUUUUUUGGACCUUUUAGAUUAUAGCUCUUCACCUUUAUAUAAGCUUUGGAUUUCAAAUAUUUUGGCCACUAGCAUCACUGAAGAGACAUGUAUUGUCGAAAUGCGCAUCUGGUGCAAGAAAAUUGGUACCGUUAAUUUUAUUACUACCACUGGGUCGAUACCUCUGCUGGUGGACUAUUAGUCCCCGAGGGUAUCACCAGCCCAGUAGCCAGUACUUCGGUACUGGCAUGAAAAUACGGAUUUUUUGUGUUAUUAAAAUUUGCUGUAACAAAAUGAUAUAAAUUAUUAUAAAUUAAGGAAUGUAUCUCCAUCAUGCAAAGCUCUGAUUCCUUUCACGGAUUUGGCUAUACUUUUUUGGACCUUUUGGAUUAUAGCUCUUCAACUUUUAUAUCAGCUUUGGAUUUCAAAUUAUAUGGCCACGAGCAUCACUGAAGAGACGUGUAUUGUCGAAAUGCGCAUCUGGUGCAAGAAAAUUGGUACCGUUAAUUUUAUUAUUCUGGUAGAUUCAGUGUGGUUCUUUACAAAAUAUGAAUUAUUGUAAUCCAAAACAAGAAAUUUGUAUCUAUGAUUCCAUUUUUAUAGAAAUAGCUCUGUUUAAUGAGAGUGUGGAGUCGAUAUUUCAACUGAGCAUGGGGAAUAGUAGUGUAAAGGGUCGAAAAAUCAAAAGUCUUUAUGUUGCAGCAAAAUUGCAAAGAUUGUGAUCGAAGAUUAAGCAGUAGAUCUUUCGAAUAUUUGAAAAUUCACAUCUGAUAGAAUAUAUCUCAUCACAAUAUUUUUGAAGCCCAUCUUUAACUGUAGAAAGAAUAGUAGUCAGUAUUUUAGAAAGAGGUUUAGUCGAACAUUUUGAUGAUCCAGCUAUGUAUCGUUCUUUAUAUGGAGUUUUGUGUAGACAUCCAUCAAAGUCACAAUUUAUAAAAGUAAACUAUUAUAUGUCAAGGUACGGUCUUCAACACGGAGCCUUAGCUCACACCGAAUAGCAAGCUAUAAAGGGGCCCAAAAAAUUACUAGUGUAAACCAUUCAAACUGGAAAACCAACAGUCUAGUCUAUAUAUAUAUAAAAACGAGAGAAAAGUGAAACGCUUAUGAACCACAUCAACAAAAAUCAAUUACUGUGAAAAUCAGAACAUAAACCUACUUACUGCUUGAAGUAUACAACGAAUUAUCAGAGUCGACAAAUGUGAUAACUGUUUUCGAUAGAUGUGUACAGACAUCCCUCUGAUUUCAAAUGUCUGGUUUUGAGCGUUCCUGAUGAAGGUAAAUCCAGUAAAAGCGCCUUGUUCGCAUGAAAUUAUUAAACGUGCUGUUUUUAAUUUUUUACAUUACUGGGUCGAUACCUCUGCUGGUGGACUAUCAGUCACCGAGGGUAUUAUCAGCUCAGUAGUCAGUACUUCGGUACCGACAUGAUUUAUAACAAACCUUUCUAAACUUGUCUGAUUAUAAAUUUUAAAGAAACUAAGGUUUCAACUCCCUCGGGCAAAGUUGACCUUAUAUGAAUUUGGCUAUUGUUUUAGGUAUUUUUGUCAUAUAGCUAUUCAACUGUUUCGGUACUUAUACAUCCCUCGGAUUUCAAAUGUUUGGCUUUGGGCGUUCCUGAUGAAGGUAAAUCCAGAAAAGCGCUUCGUACGCAUGAAAUUAUUAAACGUUUUGUUUUCAAUUCUUUAACAAAUGACUAACCAAUUUUCAAUUUUUUCCAAGUAACUCGCAUUUUAAAUUUAUGAUUUUUCAUGCGUAUUAAGGUAGCACAAUACAAAGAUUUGUUCACUCCCAAUCAGACAACUUUAAACUGAUGUAAUUCAUUUCAGCCUUCUUUAUAUUUUAGAAAUGAGGUACCAAAAGAAAGAAGAAAGAUUAAUCUUUCAAAUUGUGAUAAUUUCAUUAUGACAUAAUUAUUACAUAAUUAAUUAUUAUGUAAUUAGUUGCUAUAUUGUGAUGUCCACACUUGAAUGAAUUUAGCGUCUUUGUUCUUCAUAGCAUCCCAAAAUAUUUUAUAGAUUCUUGUACAACACAGCUUGACCUCCAAAACUGUGUCUCAGAUUUCUAAAAACAUCAAUAGAACAAAUUUUAUACCCAAUUGAAUUUAGUGGUCUCUUAUGAAUUGAUGUUGCAAACUUCAUUGAAGAUUUAUGAGAGAAUGAAAUACAAUAGGAAAAAUCUGAGACACAGUUUUUGAGGUCAAACUGUGUUGUGCAAGAAUCUAUAGAGUAUUUUGGGAUGCUAUGAAUAACAAAGAAGCUAAAUUCAUUCAAGUAUGGACAUCACAAUAUGGCAACUUAUUACAUAACAAUUAAUUAUGUAAUAAUUAUGUCAUAAUGAAAUAAUCACAAUUUGAAAGAUUAAUCCUUCUUCUUUCUUUUGGUACCUCAUUUAUAAAAUUUAAAGAAAGAUGAGUGGAAUUACAUCAGUUUAAAGAUGUCUGAUUGGGGAUGAAAAAUCUUUGUAUUGUGCUACCUUAAGUUCGAUACAUUUAAUAUAACUUGAUAUUAUAAAAUAGUGGACCAGGAUCGACGUAAUCAUUCGUAGCACAUGAAAUAUCACACUGAAUUAAAAUGAUCGUGUUUCUCAGUCUAUUGUUUCUUGUGUUAAGUUGCAUAAACUGUUGUUUGUCUUUUUGUUUAGCAAGAACACUAGCAAUGAUAUUUUGAAACUUUAUCUUUAAGUUCCGUCUCCUGUCGAAGCGUGUUCUGUCAUAAUUUUUCUAACUUCUUUUGUUUUUGGUUUUGACUCGUUAGAAAAAUGUAAACAUUACUAUUUUGAAUUUAAAAGUAGGUGUUCUAUAACACAACUUCGUUAACUGACACUUUGAUGUUUAUAGAAUUAACUCAAACACAAGAAUCCAUUUCUUGUAUUCUAGAUAUACGCUUACAGAUUAUUGCUAUAUAUAUAUAUUGUUAUCAUGUUGCUGACAUGAUCGAAACCAGUUUAUUUAAAAAGUUCAUCAUAAAGAGGAUGCAAAUGGUGUUCAAGGAUGCAAUCCAUGCACGCUCAUAACGUAUGCAAUGUAUUGACCUUUUUCUCCAUUAGAAUGUAGUCCUAGAAACGUCAAUGAGACGGCAUUUAUAUUUUCCUUUACAACAAAAAUUAUACAUAAUAGUACAAAACUUUAAUCUAGGACCCUCCAAUGUUCAAUUCGAAGAAACAGUGCAUUGCAUGAAAAAAAAAUUCGACGUAAUGAAUUAAUAAAAUGUAUAGUAUAUUUGAGUUGUAAUAGGUCAGGAUGAUCAAAACAAUGAACAAGCAUCAAACUACAUCAUUAUUGAUAUGGGUAUUUAUUGUGUUUCUCUUUUUUCAUAUUGUUAUGAAUCUUCCUUUAUGAAAACUCUUUUAGAAUAAUAUGUGCAAUAUGCAGUAUGCCAGUAUACAAGAUGAACAGUACUGAUGAUUCCAGUAUAGAUAACAUUUCACAAUCAAGUGAUCAAUAAAUUGUAUGGAUACUUUUGUCGCUGCAAGUAGUAAAAGCCGUUUGAAAUAUAUAUUUCUGGAAGUGUAAGGGAGAAACUGAGCCAGUUUAGGAUAAAAUUGAAAUGCAGUCGCUAUCUGCUCAGUUCAACCUACUAUUAGCAUUUGAUUGCUUGAAGCUAGCCUAUAAGGUCUCAUUUCCUCAACACUAUGUAAAUAAAUGAUUUGGCAAACUGAAUUAGUAAUUGUUUCAUUCAUAAUCCUAUAUGAGUACCACUAUUGUUUUUGAUAGAUAAAUAACUUAAAGAAAUGAAAACAGUUGACGUUACUUUUUGUGGAUUUGUCUUUUUUAUUUGCUUGUAACUUUUUUAUUAUCUUUCAUUCAUUGUUAUGUGUAGAUUGUCAGUUUGUGGAUACAAACAUGCAAAGUUUAUUGUCGGGAAUCUUUAACGUAAGGGUACUCAAAUUGCACCCAUUUGACCUUAAUUUUUACUU